GAGCCUUGAUUUAUAUGGGAAUAUUUGAAUACUUUUCAGCUUCUUGGACAUGAUUAUCUUUGCAAUUCGUUUGGCUGCAAUUCAGGUUUUUGGUAACUUAUUGGUAUGGCACCCCUUUCACUUUUGUUAUAAUAGUAUUGUCAGUUAUUCCUGAAAUGAUCGAAGUUGGACUAGUAGAUAGAGAUUUGUAACCGAAACUAGGUUAGUGUUGUGUAGUUUGUGAAAACUUGUAUAUGCUUCAAUACUAAGGGAAUUUAAGGCAAUUCUGUUUUCUUCUUUCUAUGUCAUUAAAUGAUAGGUUAUUAUGUGAAGUAUAUUCUUGCAUAAAGAAGUGUUUGAUAUAUGUCACUAGGCAAAAUUUUCAUUUUCUGUUUCCUUUUAGAGGCUCUGAUUUAAUGAAUGCAUCUGGCUGCAAAUAUAAGAUAUGUGCACCUGUAGGGUGGGUUAGCUUGAUAGCUUGUUCACGUGAAAAUAAUUGAAUAUUGAUAGGUCGUUUACACGAUGAUUCAGUUUUCACUUUCUGCUUGUUGGGUGACAUAGAGCAUUGUAUUUUUGCCUAUUUCUAUGGGAGAAUAUUAGGCUCUUGUUGUGUUUCUUUUAUCAUUCUAGCGCCCUCGUCCAUGUGAAAUUAAAAUAGUUAUGACUUAUGAGUGGAUGCUAGUCUGUAAAAUUUUUGGUUGGUCUUUGUUUGUGUUUGUGGUUGAAAUUGUUGAUUUCCUUGGCUUUGGGUAGUGAUGAGACAAUUGUUCAUGUUUAGAGAAGCCAAGACGUCCUUAUGAGAAGGAACAUUUGGAUGCUGAGCUGAAGCUUGGAGAAUAUAGGCUUCGGUGCAAGUUAUUGGCCAAGACAUUUCCUUGUAACGUUUUGGUUAAUCCGAUGUAUUGAGGAUGGUGCUUAGCCAAGCAGCUGAGGCAUCUCUUCGAGUGUCUCGACUUUGUUAGGAAGCUAUGCAUGGUUGUGAGGUUAAGAAGAAGAUCGUACCAAGAUACAUAUAGAGCUAAUAUAUAUUGAAGCUUGAAGCAUUUAGAAUCACCUUGGAGUUGAAAGCCUGAUCGAAUUGUACUCUGUUGUACCUAGGUGGAGGAUAUACCUAGAGUAUUUCCAAAAGGCCUAGGAGCUGUCAUCUAUAAUCAUUCAUGGGAAGUCCAAGCUGUUUUCAAAUGGAUCCAAGAGAUAAUGAGAAUUUCAUGCUGGAAGAGUAGAAGAUGCUGAAAUGAGACGAACUUUUAAUAUGGGUAUUGGGAUGGUUCUUGUAAGGAGGCAUCCCACUGAAUCCUUGAGGAUGGAAAUGGAGCUUACUGCAUUGGUGAGGCUGUAACUAGUGAAGGAGUGAGUUAUAAAUAAAAUAUAUAAUGUGUGGCCCAAUAUGUCUUUAUGUUCGUUUUUGAGCCCAUUUGACAAGCUAAGAUACAAGCUAGUGCAACUUGUUUUUUCUGUUAUUUUUGUAUCUUGAUAUUCACACUUCCAGAGGAAUUUGUUAGUGCAUUAUAAGGCUCCUUUAAGUUAUGAGUUCCCUUAUUCCAAUUGAUGCUCAACUUUUGUACGAAGUCUGUUUUUUCCUUUCCCUGCCAUG